UUCCCCUAGUAACUGCGAGUGAAGCGGGAAAAGCUCAAAUUUGAAAUCUGGCGGUUUUCGACCGUCCGAGUUGUAAUCUAGAGAAGUGUUACCUGUGCUGGACCGUGUACAAGUCUCCUGGAAUGGAGCAUCAUAGAGGGUGAGAAUCCCGUCUUUGACAUGGACUACCUGUACAUAAGGUGCGCUCUCAAAGAGUCGAGUUGUUUGGGAAUGCAGCUCAAAAUGGGUGGUAAAUGCCAUCUAAAGCUAAAUAUUGGCGAGAGACCGAUAGCGAACAAGUACCGUGAGGGAAAGAUGAAAAGAACUUUGGAAAGAGAGUUAAACAGUACGUGAAAUUGCUGAAAGGGAAACGCUUGAAGUCAGUCGCGUUGGCUAGAAAUCAGCCUUGCUCCUGCUUGGUGUACUUUCUGGUCGACGGGUCAGCAUCAAUUUUGACCAUUGGAUAAAGUCUUUGGGAAUGUGGCAUCUUAGGAUGUGUUAUAGCCCAUUUUCGCAUACAGUGGUUGGGAUUGAGGAACUCAGCACGCCGCAAGGCCGGGUUUCGACCACGUUCGUGCUUAGGAUGCUGGCAUAAUGGCUUUAAUCGACCCGUCUUGAAACACGGACCAAGGAGUCUAACAUGCCUGCGAGUGUUUGGGUGGAAAACCCAUGCGCGCAAUGAAAGUGAAAGUUGAGAUCCCCUUCAAACAGGGAGCAUUGACGCCCGGACCAGACCUUUUGUGACGGAUCCGCGGUAGAGCAUGCAUGUUGGGACCCGAAAGAUGGUGAACUAUGCCUGAAUAGGGUGAAGCCAGAGGAAACUCUGGUGGAGGCUCGUAGCGAUUCUGACGUGCAAAUCGAUCGUCAAAUUUGGGUAUAGGGGCGAAAGACU
rnacentral:rRNA from 1 species